rnacentral:ncRNA from 1 species
CUCGACCUCGGCGAUGGAUCCCGCCUGGACCUCGGUCCGAACCGCCCCCGGGCUGAUGGUUCCUGACCGACG